rnacentral:rRNA from 1 species
CAGCAGCCGCCGCGGUAAUACGGGGGGUGCAAGCGUUAAUCGGAAUUACUGGGCGUAAAGCGUGCGUAGGCGGUUCGUUAAGUCUGUUGUGAAAGCCCCGGGUUCAACCUGGGAAUGGCAAUGGAUACUGGCGAGCUAGAGUGUGUCAGAGGAUGGUGGAAUUCCCGGUGUAGCGGUGAAAUGCGUAGAGAUCGGGAGGAACAUCAGUGGCGAAGGCGGCCAUCUGGGACAACACUGACGCUGAGGCACGAAAGCGUGGGGAGCAAACAGGAUUAGAUACCCCAGUAGUCCCUGUCUCUUAUAC